rnacentral:rRNA from 1 species
UGCAGUCGAGCGGUAACAGAUCCAGCUUGCUGGAUGCUGACGAGCGGCGGACGGGUGAGUAAUGCAUAGGAAUCUGCCCGAUAGUGGGGGAUAACCUGGGGAAACCCAGGCUAAUACCGCAUACGUCCUACGGGAGAAAGGGGGCUCCGGCUCCCGCUAUGGGAUGAGCCUAUGUCGGAUUAGCUAGUUGGUGAGGUAACGGCUCACCAAGGCCACGAUCCGUAGCUGGUCUGAGAGGAUGAUCAGCCACAUCGGGACUGAGACACGGCCCGAACUCCUACGGGAGGCAGCAGUGGGGAAUAUUGGACAAUGGGGGAAACCCUGAUCCAGCCAUGCCGCGUGUGUGAAGAAGGCCCUCGGGUUGUAAAGCACUUUCAGCGAGGAAGAACGCCUAGCGGUUAAUACCCGCUAGGAAAGACAUCACUCGCAGAAGAAGCACCGGCUAACUCCGUGCCAGCAGCCGCGGUAAUACGGAGGGUGCAAGCGUUAAUCGGAAUUACUGGGCGUAAAGCGCGCGUAGGUGGCUUGAUAAGCCGGUUGUGAAAGCCCCGGGCUCAACCUGGGAACGGCAUCCGGAACUGUCAAGCUAGAGUGCAGGAGAGGAAGGUAGAAUUCCCGGUGUAGCGGUGAAAUGCGUAGAGAUCGGGAGGAAUACCAGUGGCGAAGGCGGCCUUCUGGACUGACACUGACACUGAGGUGCGAAAGCGUGGGUAGCAAACAGGAUUAGAUACCCUGGUAGUCCACGCCGUAAACGAUGUCGACCAGCCGUUGGGUGCCUAGCGCACUUUGUGGCGAAGUUAACGCGAUAAGUCGACCGCCUGGGGAGUACGGCCGCAAGGUUAAAACUCAAAUGAAUUGACGGGGGCCCGCACAAGCGGUGGAGCAUGUGGUUUAAUUCGAUGCAAC